ACUUUACGCGUGGUAAGAGAGAUUGCUGAGUAAGAUAGCGUGGCACUGUUAUAGUUUCUGGGCAGCCGAGAUCUGUUGCCGUUGCAUCAAGGGAAAUAAGAGUUUAGAGUUUGAAGUUUAGAACUCUGUUUUCUCAAUGCACAAAAGAGUAAAGCGUAGAUCUGUGUGAUAUACACGAAAUAAAUGGAAUACCGGAAAAUCAAAAAUGAGGAUGAAGAUAGGGAUCCGGUGGUUGAGGACGUUGAAAAAUCAUUUUCGUUGUCAGGUGCCGUCCCAGAUAACAAUUUGCCUUCCGGAGGAGAAACCAAAAUUGACAGCCACAGGACGAAAGCAAAGUGGAAGCGCAAGUCAGUUGUUACACUUGCAUUGACUAUUCUUACAAGUUCGCAAGCCAUUCUAAUCGUUUGGUCCAAGAGAGCUGGCAAGUAUGAGUAUAGUGUCACCACUGCUAACUUUUUGGUGGAGACUUUAAAAUGUGCUAUAUCCUUGGUGGCCUUGGGAAGAAUAUGGAAUAAAGAAGGUGUCAAUGAGGACAAUAGGUUGACUACAACCUUGGAUGAAGUUAUAGUGUAUCCUAUUCCAGCAGCACUUUACCUUGUCAAAAAUUUGCUUCAGUAUUACAUCUUUGCAUAUGUAGAUGCUCCAGGCUACCAAAUAUUAAAGAACUUAAAUAUAAUUAGUACAGGUGUCCUGUACAGAAUUAUGCUCAAGAGAAGAUUAAGUGAGAUUCAGUGGGCUGCUUUUGUUCUACUCACUGCUGGGUGCACUACAGCUCAGUUGAAUUCAAAUUCUGAUCAUGUUCUUCAAACUCCCUUUCAAGGUUGGGUGAUGGCAAUUGUCAUGGCUCUCUUGAGUGGUUUUGCAGGAGUAUAUACUGAGGCUAUUAUUAAAAAACGUCCUUCACGGAACAUAAAUGUUCAGAACUUCUGGUUGUAUGUCUUUGGCAUGUGCUUCAAUGCUGUUGCAAUGUUGGUUCAAGAUUUUGAUGCAGUGAUGAACAAGGGAUUCUUCCAUGGAUAUUCUUUCAUUACGGUUCUUAUGAUUUUCAACCAUGCACUCAGUUGUUGGCAGGGGUGGAGCCAAAAGUUUAAUUUAAGGGAGCCAAGACCCCAAAACAUAACUUAGUUUAAAAAUUUAAAUUUUCACAUACAUAACAUGCAAAAAAAAUUAAUAUAUAUAACUAACAUUUUGUUGAGUAAAAGAAAUACAUAACUGAGUACAAGAGGUAUUGAAUAUACCAUGCUUAACAUUGUUCCCUAAUAUGUUAAAGUUUUCAAACGAACUGGUACAAUUUGUAUGAGGGUUCACAAUUUGUUUCUUGAUUUUAUUCAUUUUCAGUUUUACUCGUUUUCUAGUAUUCCUUCCUUGAAACUUAAAGGUAUGGGAGUAUGGUGUUUAUUUUGGAUUUUAUUCACUAAAAUAAAAAGAAACUAAAUAUAAUCACUAACAAAUGAUAAAAUUAUCAUUUAGCAGCACGAGAUUCGUACCAUGGAAAAUAGAGAGGGAUUGAGUUAAGAAUGAGAUGAAGUAUGAACUGAGGAAAAUUUGAACUGUCAAAGAAGAAAACCCAAUGGAGGUAGAGUAGGGUACUGUGUCUGAGAAGAAAUAGAAUAAAUUACAGGAUAGAUAAAGCAUUUUUUUUCCUUUUUUGGUACAAAGCUAGGGGUUGCCAAUUUUUUUUGAACAGUAUAAAUACACCUUAAAAGUUUGGGGGGAGGCCAAGGGCCGUGGAUCACCCAUUCCUCAAGGCCACUAUUAUUGGGAUUUAGUUCGUUGAGAUCUCACAUGAUUAUGUAUAUAGCUAAAGUAGAGCUUAUAAAGGCCUGGACAAUUCUAACCUCACAAGCUAGCUUUUGAGGUUGAGUUAGGCCUAGUCCAAGUUCAAGGCAGGGAGGGGAAUUUGUUAUGCUGAGUCGACAAAUCAGUUGGGAGAGGAGCAGGAAUUUAUUAAGGGGGCAAAAAAGAAGGUUCUUGGCAUUCUAUAUUCAACCAUUUUACCCCUAGUUUGGCUGCUUCUUCUGUUUCUUCCUGAUAUGAAGGUCACUUGAGAUGUGGAGUAUAUGAGGCAAAAAGAUAAAACAACAAUGAGUUCUGAUAGUUGAUGAAACUGUGAAUAAGCAAAUCUCCGGAAGGGCCAUGUACCAAUUGCAUGAAACAGGCCUUAUUUCAACUUUAUCUUUGGUGAUUUCUACUUUCAACUGUUGUCGUUUUUAAGCUAGUUUCCUUUUACUCAUCAGUGGAAUUGCUGUAUCAAUGGUAAUGAAGUUUGCUGACAACAUUGUGAAAGUGUAUUCUACUUCAGUUGCAAUGCUUCUUACAGCAGUUGUUUCUGUGUUCCUUUUUGGCUUCCAUCUCUCCCUCGCCUUCUUUCUGGGCACAGUUGUUGUCUCUGUUGCAAUUUAUCUGCACUCUGCUGGGAAGAUACAAAGAUGAUAACCAUGACUUCUGCCUUCUAUUUGUCCUACACUGGAUUUUUUUUUAAGUUGUUGUUUAGCCUCAAUAGCAAACGAAUACAUGUUAAACCUAUUAGUUCAUUGUAAUAGUGUAUAUUUUGAAAUCUAUCUUCGUAUGUAUAUCUCAACGUAUAUCUCAGCAAGGAUGGAACCAGGCUUAAAUUUUAAUGGGGCAAUAGCUGUUUCACAUAACUUGUGCUAAAUUUUGAAAUGCUUCAUUUUAAUGUGCA